ensembl:lncRNA
GGAGAGCUGUGCGAAGCUCUAUAAAUUAUUCACUGAAGUCACAAGCGAGAGGAAGCAGAGACUGGUCCUUUCUAUCCUGCAGACUCUUGUCUGAAACGGAGCGGAGAUGGUCUGCUUGUAUGCUGUGAUCUAGUGUGCAGUCUGCUGUCACUAGAUGACUGCACACGAGUUGUGACGUAACGCUGCCUAAGGAUCUCUUUCGAUGCUUGCAUUUAUUAUUUUAUUUUGAGGAGGAGAGGAGGAGAACCCAACUGCCAAGGGAUUCGGGCACUCGGGUCCGCUGCCCUGUUCUGGAGCAUUCUCUGGCAACACUGGAUCUCUGGCCGGGGUCCAGUGGACCUGCAGUGAACAGCGCCAGGUCUAUGACCCGCUGACGAAGCACCAGAAAACUAGAAGCAACCAAAACAAACAAACAAGAAAACUGAAGCCGACUACUACCCUUAACCCCAUCCCCCCAAUUCCCCCCCCCCCCCCCUUUGGUCGGCUUCUGGUUGUCUGUUGCUUGGUUGGCAGGCUAUGGGGAUGGCCUGCUGUAAAAACAACCAGUUUUUUAUUUUAUUUUAUUUUAUGAAGGCUGAGCGCAAUUCUUCCCAGAAAAAUCAAUAAAAAUGGAAAAACCUGAAACUGAAACUAAUGUCUGUGUUUUAUUUCAUUCGAGUUAUGGAACACUUUUUAAAGAAUAGCAAGGCAAAGGAGAUAUAUUUUUAAAAAGUCACUGACUUCAAUUUUAUUUCCCAAAAUCUUCUUUUGUGUUUCACAGAAGAAAUAUAUUCAUAAAGGUUUGGAAUGGCAUGG